AGUCAGUGAGAGGUCAUAUUAUUUAUACCAGUCAGUGACUGAGAGGUCAUAUUAUUUAUACCAGUCAGUGUCUGAGAGGUCAUAUUAUUUAUACCAGUCAGUGUCUGAGAGGUCAUUAUUUAUACCAGUCAGUGAGAGGUCAUAUUAUUUAUACCAGUCAGUGAGAGGUCAUAUUAUUUAUACCAGUCAGUGAGAUCAUAUUAUUUAUACCAGUCAGUGUCUGAGAGGUCAUUAUUUAUACCAGUCAGAGAGAGGUCAUAUUAUUUAUACCAGUCAGUGUCUGAGAGGUCAUAUUAUUUAUACCAGUCAGUGUCUGAGAGGUCAUAUUAUUUAUACCAGUCAGAGAGGUCAUAUUAUUUAUACCAGUCAGUGAGAGGUCAUAUUAUUCAUACCAGUCAGUGAGAGGUCAUAUUAUUUAUACCAGUCAGAGAGAGGUC
rnacentral:lncRNA from 1 species